CGUUUGUAGUUAGCACUACAAGUGAAUCAGUUCGUAUUGAACAGAAAACAAGAAGCAUGGUAUAAUGUACCUACCAGACUACGAACUACGAGAUGAACUGUUUCCAUUUCCUUCUGGAAAUGUUACAACUACGGUCUACUUGGGAAUGGAGUAAGAAGGAAAUCAGAGAGAGCAGAGGUAGGAGAAGAACAGAUGUGAUUUCUAGAGAAUAAUUGUUUGUUCAGUUGUUCGAUGUACCAGGAUCUUGACGGCGCGCGUACUUAUUCAGCGCCACAGCCCAACACAGACACACGCAACCUUUACACGCUAUUCUGGGCCAAGACGAAGCGGACUGUGGGCCUUUGGAUGCGUUACAUUUGCUCGGCCUCUUGCACACUGGUAUUUUGCACAACAGAAACUAUCGCCGGACUCUGAAAGUAUCUUCAUCAGCUACUUGCUCGUCUUGGUCCAGCUUCCUUGUUGAGACAGUGACAGUGGCUCAUGGUUCAGAUGGCGGGCUGCUGACAUUCUCCCCUUCUUAAAAUUCGGCUUGCCCUCAAGCCGAUACAUGACAUCAAUUCCACCAGGAUCCCAAAUCAUGACAAAGAAAUGUCCUGCAGCACCUUGGUCUACUAGCAGCAUCUUGAGCACUUUGAUAGAUUCCGUCAGUAUAAUCACAAAUGAAAAACCAAUUCUCGAUGCAUGAAGAGCCGAUAUAUCCAAUAAAUCAAACUGCCACAGCACACACUCUUGAACGCAAUUGAACCAUGGCCAUGGAGAUAGAGUAUUGGCCAUCUCGGCAGUCAAGAAGAGAUUGCUUGAAAUCAUCGUCUCUAUAGUUUCUUGAGCAAAUUGCAUUCCUCCUGGAGUGUACCCAAUCAUAGCUCCCUCAAAAAGUGUCGCAUACAACUCAUUCUGUUUGUAAAGGUGUCUCCGCAUCAUCAAUAGGAUUGUUGGCUCCCAGCAAACAGUCCCUUGCCAAGUCUCUGUGAACUUGACUAAUUCUAGCAAUAACAGGCCAGGAAUGAGUGCACAACAGAGAAGAGCUGUAAUGGCCUCACUAUAGAAUAUUAGAAAUGCCAUCAAUCUGUCAGUAAGCCACUUGGGCACCAUUAAGCUAUCCUUCUGCCAAACAAGUCCCGCAGUACCAUCCCAUUGCUUCAUUCUCAAGACUAUUUCCUCAGCUUUAUCAAAAGCUCCUUUCAGAAGAAUGUGUCUCUCAACAUCUAAUGAUGGCCUCACUAUUGGUGUUUUUCCAAUGAGCUCAGGGUGACCAUUCUGUUGUGCAGCCCAAAGCAAAGAUGCAAUCAACAAUACAUUUGGUGGUGUACUGGUUGACACAAUUGCAUUAUCAAUAAGUGACUGGCCAUGCUGUCUUGAAGUGUUUUUAGCCGAAGCAGAUGCAGCUAGGCUUGAACGAUUGUUUAGCUGAGAACACAACUUCUUUGCAAACAUCACAAUUUUUUUGUUUCCCAAAGCCAAACCAGUAGAGCCAAACUGUAGGACACCCCUUGGCAGCACAUGAAUAAUCGCAGUAGUCUGAAUACCAACUCUAAACUGAUUGUUCACCUCAGCAGCAACCUUGGAGGAGAGCCCGUGACCAUUGGCAGUACCUUGGACGAUCCAUUGGUGAUCGCCACUGAACGCGGCGCGGUCUACGAUCCCUUGUCCGACGACAUGAGCCUGCGAUGCCAUAACGUUGUUAACAAGCGAGCAGAUGGUGUGAGCAACAUGAGUAGGUAUUUGAGCCUGACAACUCAUAGUCAACUCUAGGCCACCACCCAAUGCAAGACCUGGAAUGGCUGCAACAGAAGGUUGUUUGCCCUGUUCCAUCAUGUUUGACACAAGCUCAAUGGAUACGUUUGACAUAAGCGAUACAUCCCCAGUCUGAUGAACCCUUGUGAAAACUUUGAUAUUAAAUCCUCCACAUAACUUGCCCCCAGCACCUGCAAUAUUCAGCACGACUACUAGAUUGGGCUUGACAAUGGGGUGCAGUGCCUGGCUGGGACAUUUGGUCGAACACCCGAGGGGCGAGCUGCUGUUUCUGUCCGCCUUCAGCUUGAUGAUGGUGAAGGAGCAGCCGAGCUUGCGGUAGUUGGGGGCAGAGAAGAAGGUGACGAGCUGUCGGUCGACAGAGAACUCAUAUUCGUCCUCCACCACCUGGUGCGCUCUGCAAACGAUGUCCAGGUCCUGCGCGCGGCGGCAGUCCGUCGCGACGUCGGCGCGGAAGGUGCAGGACACGUAUCGAUCCUUGUUGUCCGCCCACUCUCUGUCCUCCAUGGAAGAAGGGUCGGACCAGAGCAGGUCACAGAGGAGACCCCGGUCGGCCACAUCGCAGGGCCUGGAUAGGCGGCAGAUUUGGUCCAGGUUGGCCGCGAUGGGAAUAGUUAGCUGGUGAUGCAGUGGACGAGGGCAAGGACCUCGGACGGCGUCUCUCGAGCUGUGACGCGGCGGCGACGACACGGACGGCUCCUUGGCGAUCUGCUGCAGGUCGAGGUCAUCAUCCGAGCCCGUGGACACCACCCCCGCAACGUCGUCGUGGACGGGAGGCGGAUGGCUUGCCUCGCGGUACGGCUCGUAGACGACGGGUAGAGGAGGCAGUGGGCUCACCGCGUCACGGUACGGCUCGUCCACCUCCUCAGCUUGCAGCUGCUGCAGCCUGGCGAAGCGCAGGUCGAGUCGAGCAUCCAUCUCGUCGUAGCCGGAGGGUUCCUCGUAGCCGGAGGAUUCGGCGGUCACAAACACGGAGUCAUCCGCGGCUCCAGAGUUGGCGCGGGCCGGCGCGGUGUCGAUGCUGGGCUCGUCGGUGGAGGCAACGGGGAGGACGAAUCUCGUGGGGUUGUCUGACGGAGCGACGUCCUCGCCAUAGAAGAAUCCGCCCCAGUUGUCGACGACGACGGAUGGCCUAGUGCGGUACUGCUCGCCGUCGUCAAAGCACCCGCCCCAAUUGUCUGCGAUGACCGCGACCGGGGUGGGCGGCGCACUGGCAGACGCGUCGGAGGAGUGGUUGAUGCUGAGCGAGGUGGGCGGGAGGUCGAUGUACGCGGCGGACGAGAAGCGCCGGUCCCAGCGAAUCUCUAGCUCGUCGAACCGCCGGUUGAACUCAUCGAGGAUGAGCUUGAAAUCGAGAGACAUGGCGUUGACAAAUUGAAACCGAGGAUCGAACGAAUCUGAUACCAAUUGUUACAACUACGGUCUACUUGGGAAUGGAGUAAGAAGGAAAUCAGAGAGAGCAGAGGUAGGAGAAGAACAGAUGUGAUUUCUAGAGAAUAAUUGUUUGUUCAGUUGUUCGAUGUACCAGGAUCUUGACGGCGCGCGUACUUAUUCAGCGCCACAGCCCAACACAGACACACGCAACCUUUACACGCUAUUCUGGGCCAAGACGAAGCGGACUGUGGGCCUUUGGAUGCGUUACAUUUGCUCGGCCUCUUGCACACUGGUAUUUUGCACAACAGAAACUAUCGCCGGACUUUGAAAGUAUCUUCAUCAGCUACUUGCUCGUCUUGGUCCAGCUUCCUUGUUGAGACAGUGACAGUGGCUCAUGGUUCAGAUGGCGGGCUGCUGACAGGAAAGCACUUAGAUCUCCAUGGAUGAUUGUAAC
rnacentral:lncRNA from 1 species